CUGAGCUUCAUUAACGAGCUGAAUGCCGCUCACCUGCGUGCGUCCAGUUGUCUGCGGACGCCGGGCUCGAAGGAGAAGCUGGAAGCGACGACCGUGGAUCCAGUCCAGAUGUGGAGAACUGCAGCUUCUGGGCCGGUCCUGCAUCAGCUGCAGCCCGAGCGGAACCAAAGAACCUGGACUGUUUAACGGAGACGUCUAGACAGGUUUUGACCUUCACGCCUAAUGCGGCGCUCGGCCCCAGUUUUGGUCGGACUCGGCAGCAACAGGUGGGAGAGACGAUGAGGAUGAGGAUGAGUCCUGCUGUCAUAGAGACGGCGUGUGAUCACCGCUGCUUCUUAAAUCAGUUCAGUUCCUGCUGCUUUGUACUUCUCUGCGUUUCAGAGGGCAAAUACUGAGACUAAAAUGUUAAUCUCUCUGAGGAGCGACUUUUUGCAUAUGUAACAUCACCAGUACACUGUGACUAGUUCUGUUCCUUUCCUAAUAGUCAGAUUUUAAAAUUGAAACAUCUUUUAGUAAAAUCCGAGCGUCUCCACGUUUGUUUUUUCUGUCUAAUUAGGUAAAGUGUCUUUAAUGACUGUAUGAUAAAGCUCCAACUGCUACAGUGAACAAGCUCGCAGGGAUUUAUGACUCGAUAAAGUACCAAAAGAUGAGGAACGCGACCGGCUUAUUAACAAACGUGAAGUGAUCA